UUGUGACGUUUCGGAGAUCAAACCGUCCCCUUCAUCAGACCAAAAAAAAAAGAAAAGAAAUGAUCUGAUGAAGGGGGACGGUUUGAUCUCCGAAACGUCACAACAAUAAACCAUGUUUUGUUUUUUUAAAGUCCAGUGAGUGCGGAUCUACUUUAUACUAUAUAUAUAUAUAUAUAU